UACGAAGGGGCUAGCGUUGCUCGGAAUCACUGGGCGUAAAGCGCACGUAGGCGGACUCUUAAGUCGGUGGUGAAAUCCUGGAGCUCAACUCCAGAACUGCCUUCGAUACUGAGAGUCUUGAGUCCGGGAGAGGUGAGUGGAACUGCGAGUGUAGAGGUGAAAUUCGUAGAUAUUCGCAAGAACACCAGUGGCGAAGGCGGCUCACUGGCCCGGUACGUGACGCUG
rnacentral:rRNA from 1 species